rnacentral:rRNA from 2 species
AAAUUGAAGAGUUUGAUCAUGGCUCAGAUUGAACGCUGGCGGCAGGCCUAACACAUGCAAGUCGAGCGGUAGCACAGAGAGCUUGCUCUCGGGUGACGAGCGGCGGACGGGUGAGUAAUGUCUGGGAAACUGCCUGAUGGAGGGGGAUAACUACUGGAAACGGUAGCUAAUACCGCAUAACGUCGCAAGACCAAAGUGGGGGACCUUCGGGCCUCAUGCCAUCAGAUGUGCCCAGAUGGGAUUAGCUAGUAGGUGGGGUAACGGCUCACCUAGGCGACGAUCCCUAGCUGGUCUGAGAGGAUGACCAGCCACACUGGAACUGAGACACGGUCCAGACUCCUACGGGAGGCAGCAGUGGGGAAUAUUGCACAAUGGGCGCAAGCCUGAUGCAGCCAUGCCGCGUGUGUGAAGAAGGCCUUCGGGUUGUAAAGCACUUUCAGCGGGGAGGAAGGCGAUAAGGUUAAUAACCUCAUCGAUUGACGUUACCCGCAGAAGAAGCACCGGCUAACUCCGUGCCAGCAGCCGCGGUAAUACGGAGGGUGCAAGCGUUAAUCGGAAUUACUGGGCGUAAAGCGCACGCAGGCGGUCUGUCAAGUCGGAUGUGAAAUCCCCGGGCUCAACCUGGGAACUGCAUUCGAAACUGGCAGGCUAGAGUCUUGUAGAGGGGGGUAGAAUUCCAGGUGUAGCGGUGAAAUGCGUAGAGAUCUGGAGGAAUACCGGUGGCGAAGGCGGCCCCCUGGACAAAGACUGACGCUCAGGUGCGAAAGCGUGGGGAGCAAACAGGAUUAGAUACCCUGGUAGUCCACGCCGUAAACGAUGUCGAUUUGGAGGUUGUGCCCUUGAGGCGUGGCUUCCGGAGCUAACGCGUUAAAUCGACCGCCUGGGGAGUACGGCCGCAAGGUUAAAACUCAAAUGAAUUGACGGGGGCCCGCACAAGCGGUGGAGCAUGUGGUUUAAUUCGAUGCAACGCGAAGAACCUUACCUGGUCUUGACAUCCACAGAACUUUCCAGAGAUGGAUUGGUGCCUUCGGGAACUGUGAGACAGGUGCUGCAUGGCUGUCGUCAGCUCGUGUUGUGAAAUGUUGGGUUAAGUCCCGCAACGAGCGCAACCCUUAUCCUUUGUUGCCAGCGGUUCGGCCGGGAACUCAAAGGAGACUGCCAGUGAUAAACUGGAGGAAGGUGGGGAUGACGUCAAGUCAUCAUGGCCCUUACGACCAGGGCUACACACGUGCUACAAUGGCAUAUACAAAGAGAAGCGACCUCGCGAGAGCAAGCGGACCUCAUAAAGUAUGUCGUAGUCCGGAUUGGAGUCUGCAACUCGACUCCAUGAAGUCGGAAUCGCUAGUAAUCGUAGAUCAGAAUGCUACGGUGAAUACGUUCCCGGGCCUUGUACACACCGCCCGUCACACCAUGGGAGUGGGUUGCAAAAGAAGUAGGUAGCUUAACCUUCGGGAGGGCGCUUACCACUUUGUGAUUCAUGACUGGGGUGAAGUCGUAACAAGGUAACCGUAGGGGAACCUGCGGUUGGAUCACCUCCUUA